UUCGAGUGGCGGACGGGUGAGUAACGCGUGGGUAACCUGCCUUACACAGGGGAUAACACCUGGAACAGGUGCUAAUACCGCAUAAGCGCACAGGGCCGCAUGGCCCGGUGUGAAAAACUCCGGUGGUGUAAGAUGGACCCGCGUCUGAUUAGCUUGUUGGCGGGGUAGGGGCCCACCAAGGCGACGAUCAGUAGCCGGCCUGAGAGGGUGGACGGCCACAUUGGGACUGAGACACGGCCCAAACUCCUACGGGAGGCAGCAG
rnacentral:rRNA from 1 species